GGGUUGUGAGGUUAAGCGACUAAGCGUACACGGUGGAUGCCCUGGCAGUCAGAGGCGAUGAAGGACGUGCUAAUCUGCGAUAAGCGUCGGUAAGGUGAUAUGAACCGUUAUAACCGGCGAUUUCCGAAUGGGGAAACCCAGUGUGAUUCGUCACACUAUCAUUAACUGAAUCCAUAGGUUAAUGAGGCGAACCGGGGGAACUGAAACAUCUAAGUACCCCGAGGAAAAGAAAUCAACCGAGAUUCCCCCAGUAGCGGCGAGCGAACGGGGAGCAGCCCAGAGCCUGAAUCAGUGUGUGUGUUAGUGGAAGCGUCUGGAAAGGCGCGCGAUACAGGGUGACAGCCCCGUACACAAAAAUGCACAUGCUGUGAGCUCGAUGAGUAGGGCGGGACACGUGGUAUCCUGUCUGAAUAUGGGGGGACCAUCCUCCAAGGCUAAAUACUCCUGACUGACCGAUAGUGAACCAGUACCGUGAGGGAAAGGCGAAAAGAACCCCGGCGAGGGGAGUGAAAAAGAACCUGAAACCGUGUACGUACAAGCAGUGGGAGCACAGAGCAAUCUGUGUGACUGCGUACCUUUUGUAUAAUGGGUCAGCGACUUAUAUUCUGUAGCAAGGUUAACCGAAUAGGGGAGCCGAAGGGAAACCGAGUCUUAACUGGGCGUUAAGUUGCAGGGUAUAGACCCGAAACCCGGUGAUCUAGCCAUGGGCAGGUUGAAGGUUGGGUAACACUAACUGGAGGACCGAACCGACUAAUGUUGAAAAAUUAGCGGAUGACUUGUGGCUGGGGGUGAAAGGCCAAUCAAACCGGGAGAUAGCUGGUUCUCCCCGAAAGCUAUUUAGGUAGCGCCUCGUGAAUUCAUCUCCGGGGGUAGAGCACUGUUUCGGCAAGGGGGUCAUCCCGACUUACCAACCCGAUGCAAACUGCGAAUACCGGAGAAUGUUAUCACGGGAGACACACGGCGGGUGCUAACGUCCGUCGUGAAGAGGGAAACAACCCAGACCGCCAGCUAAGGUCCCAAAGUCAUGGUUAAGUGGGAAACGAUGUGGGAAGGCCCAGACAGCCAGGAUGUUGGCUUAGAAGCAGCCAUCAUUUAAAGAAAGCGUAAUAGCUCACUGGUCGAGUCGGCCUGCGCGGAAGAUGUAACGGGGCUAAACCAUGCACCGAAGCUGCGGCAGCGACGCUUAUGCGUUGUUGGGUAGGGGAGCGUUCUGUAAGCCUGUGAAGGUGUACUGUGAGGUAUGCUGGAGGUAUCAGAAGUGCGAAUGCUGACAUAAGUAACGAUAAAGCGGGUGAAAAGCCCGCUCGCCGGAAGACCAAGGGUUCCUGUCCAACGUUAAUCGGGGCAGGGUGAGUCGACCCCUAAGGCGAGGCCGAAAGGCGUAGUCGAUGGGAAACAGGUUAAUAUUCCUGUACUUGGUGUUACUGCGAAGGGGGGACGGAGAAGGCUAUGUUGGCCGGGCGACGGUUGUCCCGGUUUAAGCGUGUAGGCUGGUUUUCUAGGCAAAUCCGGAAAAUCAAGGCUGAGGCGUGAUGACGAGGCACUACGGUGCUGAAGCAACAAAUGCCCUGCUUCCAGGAAAAGCCUCUAAGCAUCAGGUAACAUCAAAUCGUACCCCAAACCGACACAGGUGGUCAGGUAGAGAAUACCAAGGCGCUUGAGAGAACUCGGGUGAAGGAACUAGGCAAAAUGGUGCCGUAACUUCGGGAGAAGGCACGCUGAUAUGUAGGUGAAGUCCCUCGCGGAUGGAGCUGAAAUCAGUCGAAGAUACCAGCUGGCUGCAACUGUUUAUUAAAAACACAGCACUGUGCAAACACGAAAGUGGACGUAUACGGUGUGACGCCUGCCCGGUGCCGGAAGGUUAAUUGAUGGGGUUAGCGCAAGCGAAGCUCUUGAUCGAAGCCCCGGUAAACGGCGGCCGUAACUAUAACGGUCCUAAGGUAGCGAAAUUCCUUGUCGGGUAAGUUCCGACCUGCACGAAUGGCGUAAUGAUGGCCAGGCUGUCUCCACCCGAGACUCAGUGAAAUUGAACUCGCUGUGAAGAUGCAGUGUACCCGCGGCAAGACGGAAAGACCCCGUGAACCUUUACUAUAGCUUGACACUGAACAUUGAGCCUUGAUGUGUAGGAUAGGUGGGAGGCUUUGAAGUGUGGACGCCAGUCUGCAUGGAGCCGACCUUGAAAUACCACCCUUUAAUGUUUGAUGUUCUAACGUUGACCCGUAAUCCGGGUUGCGGACAGUGUCUGGUGGGUAGUUUGACUGGGGCGGUCUCCUCCUAAAGAGUAACGGAGGAGCACGAAGGUUGGCUAAUCCUGGUCGGACAUCAGGAGGUUAGUGCAAUGGCAUAAGCCAGCUUGACUGCGAGCGUGACGGCGCGAGCAGGUGCGAAAGCAGGUCAUAGUGAUCCGGUGGUUCUGAAUGGAAGGGCCAUCGCUCAACGGAUAAAAGGUACUCCGGGGAUAACAGGCUGAUACCGCCCAAGAGUUCAUAUCGACGGCGGUGUUUGGCACCUCGAUGUCGGCUCAUCACAUCCUGGGGCUGAAGUAGGUCCCAAGGGUAUGGCUGUUCGCCAUUUAAAGUGGUACGCGAGCUGGGUUUAGAACGUCGUGAGACAGUUCGGUCCCUAUCUGCCGUGGGCGCUGGAGAAUUGAGGGGGGCUGCUCCUAGUACGAGAGGACCGGAGUGGACGCAUCACUGGUGUUCGGGUUGUCAUGCCAAUGGCACUGCCCGGUAGCUAAAUGCGGAAGAGAUAAGUGCUGAAAGCAUCUAAGCACGAAACUUGCCCCGAGAUGAGUUCUCCCUGACUCCUUGAGAGUCCUGAAGGAACGUUGAAGACGACGACGUUGAUAGGCCGGGUGUGUAAGCGCAGCGAUGCGUUGAGCUAACCGGUACUAAUGAACCGUGAGGCUUAACCUUACAACGCCGAAG
rnacentral:rRNA from 1 species